UCGUCGACCUGCUGCGGGCAGAUGAAAUGAAUGUGCGAGUCGAUGCCGCCGGCGGUGACGAUCUUGCCCUCGGCGGCGAUCACCUCGGUGCCCGGCCCCACCGCCAGGGUCACGCCGGGCUGCACGUCGGGGUUGCCGGCCUUGCCGAUGCCGAAGAUGCGCCCGUUCUUCACGCCGAUAUCGGCCUUGACGAUGCCCCAGUGGUCGAUGAUCAGGGCGUUGGUCAGCACCAGGUCCAUGGCCUCGGCGGCCAGCAUCUGGCCCUGGCCCAUGCCGUCGCGG
rfam:Pseudomonas putida strain TASWS0946 Contig86, whole genome shotgun sequence.